rnacentral:lncRNA from 1 species
GGGGCCAGGGAUCAAAUCCAAGCCACAGGUGCAAGCUAUGCCCCAACUGCGGCAGUGCUGGAUCCUUUAACCCACCACACCAGGCUGGGGAUUGAACCCAUACUGCCACAGAGGGAACUCCCAGGACUCCACAUUUUUAAUGUAUAUUUUGUGAAACAUGGACUUGAAGCUUGGAAGGUCUACUAUGCUAACUGAUCACUACGCACAAUUCCAGCUCUUCCCCUAUCUCUGGAGAAUGGAGAGUAGGGCUGAGAACUCCAAGUUUCUAAUCAUGGCUUGGUCUUUCUCAUGACUAGCCCCCAUCUAAGAGCCCACCAAAGGUCACUUAGUUGGAACAAAAGACACUGCUAUCACCCAGGAAAUUCCAAGGGGUUUAGGAACUCUGUGUCAGAACUGGGGUCAAAGACCAAUUAUUAGAACAAAAGACACUUCUAGGCUAUUAUCACUUAGGAAAUCACAAAGGUUUCAGGAGCUCUGCCAGGAACCAAGGGCAGGUAUCUAUCUAUCUAUAUAUAUAGAUAGAUAGGUAUAUAGAUAUAUAUAUUUCUAUCAUCUCACAAUGAAUAAAUAUAAUUUUUAAAAUGAUAAUUAACAGUGAUAAAUUAUAAAAAUCAAAAGAACAUAUAUACAUUAUUUUAAAAUUAGCAAUAAAAUUGCUAUAUCAGUAAUUUAGUACUGAAUACCACCAACAUAAAAGAAAUAUAUUGAAUGGAGUUCCCACUCCAGGGAGGAAGGAAACCAAUCUGACUAGGAACCAUGAGAUUGAGGGUUGGAUCCCUGGCCUUGAUCAGUGGGUUAAGGAUCUGGCGUUGCCAUGGGCUGUGGUGUAGGUCUCAGAUACAGCUUGGAUCCUGCAUUUCUGUGGCUGUGGUGUAGGUGAGCAGCUGUAGCUGAUUUGACCCCUGGCCUGGGAACCUCCAUAUGCCACAGGUACAGCCCUAGAAAAAGCAAAAAAAAAAAAAAAAGAGUUCCCGUCAUGGUGCAGCAGAAACUAAUCCAACUAGGAACCAUGAGGUUGCGGGUUCCAUCCCUGGUCUUGCUCAGUAGGUUAAGGAUCCGGCAUUGCCGUGACCUCUGGUGUAGGUCGCAGACUCGGCUUGAAUCUGGCGUUGCUGUGGCUCCGGUGUAGACUGGCAGCUGUAGCUCUGAUUAGACCCCUAGCCUGGGAACCUCCAUAUGCUGCGGGUGUGGCCCUAAAAAGAAAAAAAAAGAAAAAAAAAUAUAUACAUAGAGAGAGAGAGCGAGAGAGAAUGGUACGACAUUUAGCAGACAUAUAAGGAAAUUUUUAUUCUAGUUUAAAAAAAAAAAACAAAACCCUGAAAAAACACCCAAGAAUUAGGUGGACUGAAUUCUAGUCCUGAUUCCACCAACCACCCAAAGCUGAGUGAGUUACCUAAUUUCUCUAUUUCUGUAUCCUCAACUUGUAGAUGGGGAAAAUAACAUCUGGUGUCCUUGACCUCACAGGGUAAUUUUGAAACUCUCAUAAAGGAUAGAAGUAUGCUCUAAAAAAUCAUCCAACAGGGAUUUCCCAUUGUGGCUCAGUGGGAACGAACCCAAUUAGUAUACAUGAGGAUUCUGGUUGGCUCCCUGGCCUUGAGAAAGUGAUGAAGCUUCUCUGGGCCAAGAGCUUUCCAGGCAGAGGGAAGUGCUAGUUAACACUCUGAGGUAGGAGUCAGUGGGAGCUGUGGGGCCAGAGCCAUGUGAGUUUGGGAAGGAGUAAUGGAACGGUCAGGUCCCUUGUAGACCUCAGUAAAAACCUACACCUUUACUGUGAGGAAGGGAUUUUUUUUUCAGAUUUUGAGUAACUAGAGGAAUAACACAGUCUGAUUUAUCCUGGCUGCUGUAUUGAGAAUAAUCUAUAGGGGAUCCAGGGAGACCAAUUAGGAGGCUAUUGCAGACAUGACUCAUGUGAUGGUGAAGAAGCAUGAUGGUGGAUUAGAUCACAUAGCAGGAAUGGAAAUGAGAAGUGGUCAGAUUCUGGAUAGUGCCCUAAGACUCCCUGAAGGAUUACAGGUGGGUUUUCAGAAAAAGGAUUACAAAAUGACUCCUAGGCUUUCGGUUUCCAAAUGAAGAUGCUUAUUCUCCAGGAGGAAUAAAAGACAAUGCAAACUAUUUAUAAGAAACACAGAAAGUGGAUAUGAGUUCAGUCUAGUCUUUAUGGAUUUGAGAGCUGUCUGUGCUGAAAUGAUUCAGGUAAGGGCCUGGGCUGAUAAGGAAGGACCAAAAACUGGAGCCAGGAUUUGGGCAGAGCUGAUAAGCAGUAUGAGUAGAACAGAAAGCCAUCUAUAGGUCAAGGCCAGAAGUUAAAAGAUACUUAGAUAAAGGGAUGCAAUACUGAAAGCAAAGUCAAGGUUAGGGUUCAGAGUUUUGCUCUAAUUUGGAAGGCAAAGGCAAUAAUUCAACUGGAACAAGAGCAAUGAUAAUUUAUAAAACACAAGGCAAUCUGCUAAAAGUCUUUGAGUAAGGAGUUCCCUUGUGGCACAGUAGAUUAAGGAUCCAGUGUCACUGCAGGAGCUUGGGUUGCUGCUGUGGCACAGGUUAGUCACCAGCCUGGGAACUUCUAUGCCACAGGCACAGCCUAAAAAAGAAAAAAAAAAAAGGCUUUGAGUACAGAAUCUCAUUUAAUUUGUUCAAUAACCCCAUGAAUUAAGUGAAUACCCUACACAUGGCUGGUGGCAGACACAGUUUUAACCUUACCUUGGAUCUUGAAGCAUGUUGUGCUUAAAGACUACACAAUACUGCAAGUUUUAAUGUCUCAGUAGGCAGUGAAGUCAUCUCAGAGGUUCAAGUUAAGUGGGUGUGGGAGUGGUAAGCACAAGUGGAAGCAGAGUCCACGUACACAGACAAAAUUGGAUCUAAGCUUGUGGUUUAAGCUGGGCGUGAAGGAACAGGCUUGGGCUGGGGUCUGAAUCAGGAGCCCAGGAUUUGGCAAAGCACCACACUCAACCUAAUACAACAGCCCUGAGAGCUAAGCAAGGCACUAGAGAUGGCAGACAGUUAUAAUGAAAGAUAAGGACUUUGCUUAGCUAGAUUUGCAACAUGGCCACUGUGUUAUACCAAGGCAUCAAGUAUAAGUGCAAAUCCAAUGGAAUUUGCUUGCUAGAUCUCUGCAUCAGAACUAAGUGCUGCAACAUGGAUAAACAAACACACAUCUUUUCCGUAAGAAACUUGUUACAGAUCAAGCAUUGGAAGAACUCAAAAAGAGCCUUCUCUUUACCUGGCUUAUUUAAGGAGCUUGCCCCAGGCAAGAAAAGAGCUGGGUGAGUUCACAAUGCUCUUUCAAAGGUAAACUUUGGGCUUCCAAUACUUUUGUUUCUUUUCCUCCACCAAAUGGCAAAGAUGCACUGAACACAAAAUUUCAUUCUCAAUCUGCUUAAAAGGCAGAUUAGGAGUUCCUGUUGUGGUGCAGCAGAAACAAAUCCGAUUAGGAACCAUGAGGUUGAGGGUUCGAUCCCUGGCCUCACUCAGUGGGUUAAGGAUCAUGUGUUGCCGUGAUCUGUUGUAUAGGUUGCAGUCUCAGCUGGAAUCCAGCAUUGCUGUGGCUGUGGCUGGCAGCUGUAGCUCCAAUUAGACCCCUAGCCUGGGAAACUCUAUAUGCCCUAAAAAGCAAAAAAAGCAAAAAAAAAAAAAAAAAAAAAA